GAUGAAGAACGCAGCGAAAUGCGAUAAGUAAUGUGAAUUGCAGAAUUCCGUGAAUCAUCGAAUUUUUGAACGCAUAUUGCGCCCUCUGGUAUUCCGGGGGGCAUGCCUGUCCGAGCGUCAUUGCUGCCCUCAAGCACGGCUUGUGUGUUGGGCCUCCGUCCUCCUCCCGGGGGACGGGCCCGAAAGGCAGCGGCGGCACCGCGUCCGGUCCUCGAGCGUAUGGGGCUUCGUCACCCGCUCUUGUAGGCCCGGCCGGCGCUUGCCGACACAUCAAUCUUUUUUCCAGGUUGACCUCGGAUCAGGUAGGGAUACCCGCUGAACUUAAGCAUAUCAAUAAGCGGAGGA
rnacentral:misc_RNA from 1 species